rnacentral:rRNA from 1 species
UGACGGUACCUGACUAAGAAGCACCGGCUAAAUACGUGCCAGCAGCCGCGGUAAUACGUAUGGUGCAAGCGUUAUCCGGAUUUACUGGGUGUAAAGGGAGCGUAGACGGCAUGGCAAGCCAGAUGUGAAAUGCGGGGGCUCAACUCCUGAACUGCAUUUGGAACUGUCAAGCUAGAGUAUCGGAGAGGUAAGUGGAAUUCCUAGUGUAGCGGUGAAAUGCGUAGAUAUAUGGAAGAACACCAGUGGCGAAAGCGGCUCUCUGGUCUGUAACUGACGCUGAGGUUCGAAAGCGUGGGUAGCAAACAGGAUUAGAUACCCUG